UUCACGCAGAAAGCGUCUAGCCAUGGCGUUAGUAUGAGUGUCGUGCAGCCUCCAGGACCCCCCCCUCCCGGGAGCCAUAGUGGUCUGCGGAACCGGUGAGUACACCGGAAUUGCCAGGACGACCGGGUCCUUUCUUGGAUCAACCCGCUCAAUGCCUGGAGAUUUGGGCGUGCCCCCGCGAGACUGCUAGUCGAGUAGUGUUGGGUCGCGAAAGGCCUUGUGGUACUGCGUGAUAGGGUGCUCGAGAGU
rnacentral:other from 12 species